GCCCUCGUAGCUCAGGGGAUAGAGCACCGGCCUCCGGAGCCGGUGGCGCAGGUUCGAAUCCUGCCGAGGGCG
rnacentral:tRNA from 2 species